GAUGAACGCUGGCGGCGUGCCUAAUACAUGCAAGUCGAACGAACAGAUAAGGAGCUUGCUCCUUUGACGUUAGCGGCGGACGGGUGAGUAACACGUGGAUAACCUACCUAUAAGACUGGGAUAACUUCGGGAAACCGGAGCUAAUACCGGAUAACAUAUUGAACCGCAUGGUUCAAUAGUGAAAGGCGGCUUUGCUGUCACUUAUAGAUGGAUCCGCGCCGUAUUAGCUAGUUGGUAAGGUAACGGCUUACCAAGGCAACGAUACGUAGCCGACCUGAGAGGGUGGUCGGCCACACUGGAACUGAGACACGGUCCAGACUCCUACGGGAGGCAGCAGUAGGGAAUCUUCCGCAAUGGGCGAAAGCCUGACGGAGCAACGCCGCGUGAGUGAUGAAGGUCCUCGGAUCGUAAAACUCUGUUAUCAGGGAAGAACAAAUGUGUAAGUAACUGUGCACAUCUUGACGGUACCUGAUCAGAAAGCCACGGCUAACUACGUG
rnacentral:rRNA from 1 species